rnacentral:rRNA from 1 species
AGCGAACGCUGGCGGCAGGCCUAACACAUGCAGGUCGAACGGAUCCUUCGGGAUUAGUGGCGGACGGGUGAGUAACACGUGGGAACGUGCCCUUUGGUUCGGAACAACUCAGGGAAACUUGAGCUAAUACCGGAUGUGCCCUUCGGGGAAAAGAUUUAUCGCCAUUGGAGCGGCCCGCGUCUGAUUAGCUAGUUGGUGAGGUAAAGGCUCACCAAGGCGACGAUCAGUAGCUGGUCUGAGAGGAUGAUCAGCCACAUUGGGACUGAGACACGGCCCAAACUCCUACGGGAGGCAGCAGUGGGGAAUCUUGCGCAAUGGGCGAAAGCCUGACGCAGCCAUGCCGCGUGAAUGAUGAAGGUCUUAGGAUUGUAAAAUUCUUUCACCGGGGACGAUAAUGACGGUACCCGGAGAAGAAGCCCCGGCUAACUUCGUGCCAGCCGCCGCAGUAAUAC